rnacentral:rRNA from 1 species
GUGAAAUUGAACUCGCUGUGAAGAUGCAGUGUACCCGCGGCAAGACGGAAAGACCCCGUGAACCUUUACUAUAGCUUGACACUGAACAUUGAGCCUUGAUGUGUAGGAUAGGUGGGAGGCUUUGAAGUGUGGACGCCAGUCUGCAUGGAGCCGACCUUGAAAUACCACCCUUUAAUGUUUGAUGUUCUAACGUGGACCCGUU